rnacentral:rRNA from 1 species
AUUGAACGCUGGCGGCAGGCCUAACACAUGCAAGUCGAGCGGAUGACGGGAGCUUGCUCCUUGAUUCAGCGGCGGACGGGUGAGUAAUGCCUAGGAAUCUGCCUGGUAGUGGGGGACAACGUUUCGAAAGGAACGCUAAUACCGCAUACGUCCUACGGGAGAAAGCAGGGGACCUUCGGGCCUUGCGCUAUCAGAUGAGCCUAGGUCGGAUUAGCUAGUAGGUGAGGUAAUGGCUCACCUAGGCGACGAUCCGUAACUGGUCUGAGAGGAUGAUCAGUCACACUGGAACUGAGACACGGUCCAGACUCCUACGGGAGGCAGCAGUGGGGAAUAUUGGACAAUGGGCGAAAGCCUGAUCCAGCCAUGCCGCGUGUGUGAAGAAGGUCUUCGGAUUGUAAAGCACUUUAAGUUGGGAGGAAGGGCAGUAAGUUAAUACCUUGCUGUUUUGACGUUACCGACAGAAUGAGCACCGGCUAACUCUGUGCCAGCAGCCGCCGCAGUAA